rnacentral:rRNA from 1 species
UGAGGAAUAUUGGUCAAUGGACGGAAGUCUGAACCAGCCAAGUAGCGUGCAGGAUGACGGCCCUAUGGGUUGUAAACUGCUUUUGUAUGGGGAUAAAGUUAGGGACGUGUCCCUAUUUGCAGGUACCAUACGAAUAAGGACCGGCUAAUUCCGUGCCAGCAGCCGCGGUAAUACGGAAGGUUCAGGCGUUAUCCGGAUUUAUUGGGUUUAAAGGGAGCGUAGGCUGGAGAUUAAGUGUGUUGUGAAAUGUAGACGCUCAACGUCUGAAUUGCAGCGCAUACUGGUUUCCUUGAGUACGCACAACGUUGGCGGAAUUCGUCGUGUAGCGGUGAAAUGCUUAGAUAUGACGAAGAACUCCGAUUGCGAAGGCAGCUGACGGGAGCGCAACUGACGCUUAAGCUCGAAGGUGCGGGUAUCAAACAGGAUUAGAUACCCUGGUAGUCCGCACAGUAAACGAUGGAUGCCCGCUGUUGGUACCUGGUAUCAGCGGCUAAGCGAAAGCAUUAAGCAUCCCACCUGGGGAGUACGCCGGCNCGGU